CCUUGAACUCGGCAAAUUGACACCGUAACUUCGGGAGAAGGUGUGCCGCUGGCGGUGAUUGACCUUGCGUCAUUAGCCGUUGGUGGUCGCAGUGAAACGGCGGUUGUGACUGUUUACUAAAAACACAGGACUCUGCGAACUCGUAAGAGGACGUAUAGGGUCUGAUGCCUGCCCGGUGCUGGAAGGUUAAGGGGAUAUGUCAGAGCAAUCGAAGCAUUGAACCGAAGCCCCAGUAAACGGCGGCCGUAACAAUAACGGUCCUAAGGUAGCGAAAUUCCUUGUCGGGUAAGUUCCGACCUGCACGAGGGCAUAACAACAUCCGCACUGUCUCGACCAGGGACUCAGCGAAAUUGCAUUGGGGGUGAAGAUGCCCUCUACCCGCGGCAAGACGGAAAGACCCCAUGAACCUUUACUGCAAUUUGACAGUGAUUUUCGGGUUGUUCUGCGUAGGAUAGGUGGGAGGCUUUGAAGCCGGGCUUCCGGGUUCGGCAGAGCCACCUUGAAAUACCACCCUGGAUAAUCUGGAAAUCUAACCUACACCCGUGAUCCGGGUGAGGGACACUGUCUGAUGGGCAGUUUGACUGGGGCGGUCGCCUCCUAAAACGUAACGGAGGCGUGCGAAGGUUCCCUCAGGCUGAUUGGAAACCAGCCGUAGAGUGCAAACGCAUAAGGGAGCUUUACUGUGAGACCGACAGGUCGAGCAGUUGCGAAAGCAGGCGUUAGUGAUCCGGUGGUACCGGAUGGAAGGGCCAUCGCUCAUCGGAUAAAAGGUACUCUGGGGAUAACAGGCUGAUCGCGCCUGAGAGUUCACAUCGGCGGCGCGGUUUGGCACCUCGAUGUCGGCUCAUCGCAUCCUGGGGCUGGAGCAGGUCCCAAGGGUUUGGCUGUUCGCCAAUUAAAGCGGUACGCGAGCUGGGUUUAAAACGUCGUGAGACAGUUUGGUCCCUAUCUGCCGUGGGCGUAGGAUACUUGAGAGGAGCUACCCAUAGUACGAGAGGACCUGGGUGGACGUGCCUCUGGUGAUCCGGUUGUCAGGCCUCUGGCAUAGCCGGGUAGCCAUGCGCGGAACAGAUAACCGCUGAAAGCAUAUAAGCGGGAAGCUGGCCUCAAGACUAGGUAUCCCUGCCGCAAGGCACUAAAGGCCCCUUGUAGACUACGAGGUUGAUAGGCUGGGUGUGGAAGCGUAGCAAUACGUGGAGCUGACCAGUACUAAUAGGCCGUGCGGCUUGACCU
rnacentral:rRNA from 1 species